CCUCCCGGCGGGAGCGCCCCGCCCGGCUUCCCGGCUCUCACUUUUCCUCCCACCCGGGUCGCGGCGCUCGGGGGCCAGGCGGGGAUGGAGCCGAGUUGCUCCCGCCGAGCCAGCCAGCCCCCUCCUCUCCCAGCUAGCCAGCAGAGAAGAAUCAAGUCAGCAGAGAGCUCUUGCAUGUGAAGGAAUCAGAACCCUGUUGUUCCUCCUACCAACAUGAGAUGUUCUCUGAGGUCAGAGGCCGUGUCUUCUUCACCACUGUGUACCUGAACGGCAAGAAGAACACUACCGGACCCAUACAAGGCACUCAAUAGAUGCCUGUCGAAUAAAUAAAUGAAUGGUUCAGGGUA